ensembl:snRNA U6 U6 spliceosomal RNA
GUGCUCACUUUAGCAGCACAUGUACUAAAAUUAAAACGAUACAGAGAAGAUUAACAUAGCUCCUGUACAAGGAUAACAUGCAAAUUCAUGAAGCGUUUCCACAGUUA